GACUUGAAUCGCUUCCAGAUCCCACGGACACCUGGGAAAUUAUAGAGACCAUUGGUAAAGGCACCUAUGGCAAGGUCUACAAGGUAACUAACAAGAGAGAUGGGAGCCUGGCUGCAGUGAAAAUUCUGGAUCCAAUCAGUGAUAUGGAUGAAGAAAUUGAGGCAGAAUACAACAUUUUGCAGUUCCUUCCUAAUCAUCCCAAUGUUGUAAAGUUUUACGGGAUGUUUUACAAAGCGGAUCACUGUGUAGGGGGACAGCUGUGGCUGGUCCUGGAGCUGUGUAAUGGGGGCUCAGUCACCGAGCUUGUCAAAGGUCUACUCAGAUGUGGCCAGCGGUUGGAUGAAGCAAUGAUCUCAUACAUCUUGUACGGGGCCCUCUUGGUGUUUCAGCUCAACUCACCAGUACACGUCUGCGGAGAAACACAUCUGUUGGCACCCCAUUCUGGAUGGCCCCUGAGGUCAUUGCCUGUGAGCAGCAGUAUGACUCUUCCUAUGACGCUCGCUGUGACGUCUGGUCCUUGGGGAUCACAGCUAUUGAACUGGGGGAUGGAGACCCUCCCCUCUUUGACAUGCAUCCUGUGAAAACACUCUUUAAGAUUCCAAGAAAUCCUCCACCUACUUUACUUCAUCCGGAAAAAUGGUGUGAAGAAUUCAACCACUUUAUUUCACAGUUUUUGCAAACAGGUGUCUUAUUAAGGAUUUUGAAAGGCGACCUUCCGUCACACAUCUCCUUGACCACCCAUUUAUUAAAGGAGUACAUGGAAAAGUUCUGUUUUUGCAAAAACAGCUGGCCAAGGUUCUCCAAGACCAGAAGCAUCAAAAUCCUGUUGCUAAAACCAGGCACGAGAGGAUGCAUACCAGAAGACCUUAUCAUGUGGAAGACGCUGAAAAAUACUGCCUUGAGGAUGAUUUGGUCAACCUAGAGGUUCUGGAUGAGGAUACAAUUAUCCAUCAGUUGCAGAAACGUUAUGCAGACUUGCUAAUUUACACAUAUGUUGGAGACAUCUUAAUUGCCUUAAACCCCUUCCAGAAUCUAAGCAUAUACUCUCCACAGUUUUCCAGACUUUAUCAUGGGGUGAAACGCGCCUCCAAUCCCCCCCACAUAUUUGCAUCAGCAGAUGCUGCUUACCAGUGCAUGGUUACUCUCAGCAAAGACCAGUGCAUUGUCAUCAGCGGAGAGAGUGGCUCUGGGAAGACAGAAAGCGCCCACCUGAUUGUUCAGCAUUUGACUUUCUUGGGAAAGGCCAAUAAUCAGACCUUGAGAGAGAAAAUUCUACAAGUCAACUCCCUGGUGGAAGCCUUUGGGAACUCAUGCACUGCCAUCAAUGACAACUCGAGCCGUUUUGGAAAAUAUCUGGAAAUGAUGUUUACACCAACUGGAGUUGUGAUGGGGGCAAGAAUCUCUGAAUAUCUCCUUGAAAAAUCCAGAGUUAUAAAACAGGCAGCGGGAGAGAAAAAUUUUCACAUAUUUUACUAUAUUUAUGCUGGUCUUCAUCACCAAAAGAAGCUUUCUGAUUUCAGACUUCCUGAGGAAAAACCUCCUAGGUACAUAGCUGAUGAAACUGGAAGGGUGAUGCACGACAUAACUUCCAAGGAGUCUUACAGAAGACAAUUCGAAGCAAUUCAGCAUUGCUUCAGGAUUAUAGGGUUCACGGACAAAGAGGUGCACUCAGUGUACAGAAUUUUGGCUGGAAUUUUGAAUAUUGGGAACAUUGAGUUUGCAGCUAUUUCUUCUCAACAUCAGACUGAUAAAAGUGAGGUGCCCAAUGCUGAAGCUUUGCAAAAUGCUGCCUCUGUUCUGUGCAUCAGCCCCGAAGAGCUACAGGAGGCCCUCACCUCCCACUGUGUGGUCACCCGGGGCGAGACCAUCAUCCGUGCCAACACUGUAGACAGGGCUGCGGACGUUCGAGACGCUAUGUCCAAAGCCCUGUAUGGGAGGCUCUUCAGCUGGAUUGUGAAUCGCAUUAAUACACUCCUGCAGCCAGACAAAAACAUAUGUAGUGCAGGAGAUGGAAUGAAUGUGGGGAUCUUGGAUAUCUUUGGAUUCGAGAAUUUUCAGAGAAAUUCAUUUGAGCAGCUCUGCAUAAACAUUGCCAAUGAGCAAAUCCAGUACUACUUCAAUCAGCACGUUUUUGCUCUUGAGCAGAUGGAAUAUCAGAAUGAAGGCAUUGAUGCUAUACCCGUGGAGUAUGAGGACAACCGCCCGCUCUUGGACAUGUUCCUCCAGAAACCCCUGGGACUGCUUGCACUUUUGGAUGAGGAAAGUCGGUUUCCCCAAGCAACUGACCAGACCCUGGUUGAUAAAUUUGAAGAUAAUCUACGAUGCAAAUACUUCUGGAGGCCCAAAGGAGUGGAACUGUGCUUUGGCAUUCAGCAUUAUGCUGGAAAGGUAUUAUAUGAUGCUUCUGGGGUUCUUGAGAAGAAUAGAGACACUCUCCCUGCCGAUGUGGUUGUGGUCCUGAGAACGUCAGAAAACAAGCUUCUUCAGCAGCUCUUCUCAAUCCCUCUGACCAAAACAGGUAAUUUGGCCCAGACAAGAGCUAGGAUAACAGUGGCCUCAAGAUCUUUGCCUCCACAUUUCAGUGCUGGGAAAGCCAAGGGGACACUUCAAACCAAAGCAGUGGGCCACAUUCCCCCGUCGCAGCGGCUACCAGGGGAAGUGCCAAGGUUCAAGACUGCAGCGAGCCUGCUGACCAUAAAGUUCUCAGGGGCUCUCUAGAUCGUAGAAGCCAUUCACAAGCAGAAUCCAACAAUGGCCAUGCACAGACUUCAAGCAACUCUCCUGCUGUCACAGAGAAAAAUGGGCAUUCACAAGCCCAGAGUUCUCCAAAAGGGUGCGAUAUCUUCGCAGGACAUGCAAACAAGCACUCGGUUUCUGGGACUGAUUUGCUGUCUUCUCAGAUAUGCCAUCCUGCUCCAGAUCACCAAGGAUUGAGUCUCUGGGGACCCCCUCAAAAGCCUGGUUCAGAAAAUGGUCUUGCACAGAAGCAUCGAACACCUCGCCGACGAUGUCAGCAGCCCAAAAUGCUGAGUAGCCCUGAGGACACCAUGUACUAUAACCAGUUAAAUGGAACUCUAGAAUAUCAAGGGAGCAAGAGGAAGCCAAGAAAACUUGGCCAAAUCAAAGUACUUGAUGGGGAAGAUGAAUAUUACAAAUCUCUGUCACCAGUGGACUGUAUCCCUGAGGAGAACAACUCAGCCCACCCUUCCUUUUUUUCUUCAUCCUCAAAAGGAGACUCUUUUGCUCAACAUUAAUUGUACUUCCUAACCCCAAAUCUGUCCAGAGUAGGAACAUUCAUGGUAAUUGACUGUCUGUCAUUGCAGAAGAAAGCACUGAUAUGGGGUCAGCUUCUUUGGACAUAUGGUCCAUGCCUGAACCUUACUGAACAACUUGCAGAUUCCAAAACAUCUUAUCCUAUCUCCACCACUCUCCCAUAUCUGUUGUGCAGCCUGAGCUGGACGCUCCCUUCCUUUCUCAUCCCAUGGGGCCCUGUGGGACACUGAGAACAGCUUUACAACAGUAUAAACAGUCAUUCAUGCCCCCAGUGUCUAGGAAGAUAACAGUCUCACCCCAGUCUAAUCAUGGACACUGAUAAUAUUUCUUGAUUUUUCCUAUCAAGUUACUUUUCAAUCCAUUCAGAAUCUGUCCCAGUGGAGACCCAGGAGUUCCUUUCCUGCACUCUUCUCCACCCUCCCACCUUUGCUGGGCUUUUCUAUCACUCCCACCUUCCCCAGAGUCAGGGCUCCAUUGCUGAGUGCCCCAUCCUGGAGGAUUGGCCCCAAGAUCUCCUAGAACAGGAUAAUUGCCUGUGUUUAGGCAGAUAGGCAUAAAUCUUUCAGAUUCUUUCUACAAGGCAAAUAACCCCUCUCUUGUGAAUUGUUAUGCUGAGAAAGCCUUUGUCUCUUUAUUUCACCUUGCCAAGACACCCACACUACUUUAGUAAUGAAAAGAAAGGAAUGAGAGGGAAAGUUUGGACCUGUCACUUUGGUGACAGGGAAAGUCCAGGUCACUUUAUUCUGUAACUCUCCAUUCACUGGUCAAAUAACUCCAUGAGGCUAUCAGUGGCUACAGUGGAAGGACCUGAUCUUGUCCAUCUUUGUGUGCACAGAGCCUAGCACAGGGCCUGGCAGAGGGGAUAUCUAGUGAAUGUAGAAUACAUGGAGAGACUUAACUAAGUUACACAAGCAUAUCUGACAGGAAUGUUACUUUCAAUUGUAUGUUACAUAUGAUUAGUCACUUUUCGUACACUAUAACCUCUGAUUUUUCACUCGUUUGGGCUAAUUCUAUUGUAAUGAUAUUAGAUAAUAUAAUACUCAACAUGAUUCAAUAUGACAAACUUUUUUGAGCACCUACUUUAUAUAAAACACGACAAAUUGCUGUGUGAUGUAAUCAAAAACAAAGAAGCUCUAUAAGACCAUUUCUGUAGAACAGAUGUUCUUAAUAUUUUUCUUACUCUAAAAUAUGUGGUAGAUAGUAUGCAAGAAAAGCCGGGUGCGGUGGCUCAGGCCUGUAAUCCCAGUGCUUUGGGAGGCCAAGAUGGGCGGAUCAUGAGGUCAGGAGUUUGAGACCAGCCUGACCAACAUGGUGAAACCUUGUCUCUACUAAAAAAAAAAAAAAAAAUACAAAAAUUAGCCCGUCAUGGUGGCGCAUACCUGUAAUCCCAGCUACUCAGGAGGCUGACGCAGGAGAAUCACUUGAACCCGGGAGGCGGAGGUUGCAGUCAGCUGAGAGCGCACCACUGCACUCCAGCCUGGGCAACAGGGCAAGACUCUGUCUCAAAAAAAAAAAAAAAAGAUAGUAUGCAAGAAGAUACCUAAAUUUUGAGAGAAGUAACCUUGAAAAAUCUUAUCAGAGUUUUGAAAGGGAGCACAUUAAUAGGCCUUUUAUGAAGAUGAAUAAUGAAAUGAGGCAUUUAAAGAUCUCAGAAAUUAUAAUUUUACAAGUAAAAUAAAUAUAGCCAAUUUUUCAAUAGCUGAACUUCACCCAAAAGGUAAUGUUUAUAAGUAGAGCAGAAAAAAUGCAGAUAAAUUUUAUUUUAUUGUUUAAAAAAUAAUGCAUAGAAUAUAUAAAUUUUUCAUGUUACUAUUAAUAUAUGAGUGCUUUCGGAAGUUUCACUUUUGUCAUUGAUUGUCUACUUUUGGUUUGAUAAUAUUAGCUGCUUUUCAAAUUGUUGAAUGGAAAUGUUCAUAACUCCCUGUUUGUCUGUGCACAAUGUAAUUCUAAACCUGGCUUGUUUCUCAUUUAAAUAUAUCUAUAAAUAAACUUAAAAAGAAAACAGAAGUAA
rnacentral:sRNA from 1 species